rnacentral:lncRNA from 1 species
UGGGGGUGGCCUUGCUUACCCAGCUGUGCGGAACAGGCUUGGUUGGGAGUGCCUGGCCUCACCCUUUGUGGGGAAACCAGAUUCUCUGGGCAGCAGUGGUAAAUGGUGUCUGAGUCUGUGUUUCGUUGGAUGUGUCUGAGGUCCGCUGCUGCCAGCUGGGUUAUGCUGUCUCCAAAGCUAUCUGCAGUGGGGGAGGCCCUGAGCCUGGGCAGGGGAGGGUACAGAGGCCUCAACCCAUGGGACCUGGGGGUGAUCUGAACUCUGCACUUCACUUUUUUUCAGGAUUUCCCCCGCCCCACCCUAAAGGAGGAGGAAAUAGAGUCUGUCCCACCCUAAGCCCCAGUCCCUCUCCCCAGGUCUCUUUGGCAUCUCCCAGCUGGGCUGGGGCUGAAGGCCCUUCUCUGGGGUUGGCCACAGUGAGGCCAGGAUCUGGCUGGGCAGGUGGCAGUGUUCCGCCUGUGGGCUGGGUGCGGAGGCGGGCCUGGGGGUCUUAGAGAGAGAGCGGCGGAUGUGACUGCGGGCCAGGAGGAAGCCUGGUCCCAGGAUGUCACCAUUUCCCCUGCAGUGAGCAAGCAUCUCUAGGGCUCGGAGAUAAGUGCUGGGUGGGGUAGCUCCAGCUCUCCAGCGCUUUUUUCUGUCUGGUUCCUGCCAUCUGGACUUGAGCCAUGAGGAAGGCCAGAGUGGGUCUGACAGUCCCCACUCCUUUCCCCGCUGAGCCCCAAGGAAGGGGCUGGGCCUUUGCACCCCCACCCCAACUUCUGCACGAGUUGGAGGCAGUUGAUCUCAAUGGUGGAAAGUGGCUGGUGCAAAGUCAUGCUUCCAUACUCCAUGUUUAGGCUUCAUGGGUGUCAAAGCUGGGCCGUGACCUUGUCCCAUUCCCUCAGAGAAGGGAACUGAGGCCAGAGGGUGGAGCUGCUCUCAGGCCGCUGCCCAGGCCUCUUGUGCUCUGCGGUUCAGAUGGCACUCCCGAUGCCAGGCUCCUGCCCAGGAAGACAUGCCCACCCGCCCUGGCCCUGUCUCUGCUGUCUGGUGUCAGGCCACCUCUCUUCGGGACCCCCCCCCAACUGAUUGCCCUGGGGCUGACCAGGCUCUCCUCUCCCUCAGUGUUGGGUUUUGGGAGCCUCUCUCAUCAGGAGGUUGGCACAGAUGCCAGCCAUGCAGCGGAUCCUGGGCAGGGGUCUCAGCUGGGAUGGCCUGGCCUUGGGACAGGGAGGCUGGCUGGGCAGAACCCUAGAACCAAAAGCGGUGCCUGUGGUGGGCUAGGGAGCUAGGUGGGGAGUCUAGUGGGGAGUCUAGUGGGGAGGUCCACUAGACACUCGUUCUGGCACAGCAUGCAGCGUCCUCCAUCCUGGCCCUGCUGUGGGUACGGAGCCAGCAGGGCAGGAGCUCUCAGUGGAGCCCUCCAAAGAGGGCUGCUUCCUGGACCAGCUGCAGGAUGAGGGAGACCCCUUCUGUCCAGGGCUGACAUAGGCUGACCACCGCCAGCCCCACCCUCUCACUAGCUUCCCAUUCAGUUAGCCAUUGAUGAGGGCUCACUGGGUGCAGGAUCCUGGGCUGCCCGGGGUUGGGUAGGGGACUCCUACAUGUAGGUAAAUCCGCGAGAUGCUGGAGAGAGCAGGCAAUAAAGUGGUUGAUUCUCUCUGGAGGUGACAUUUUACUUUCCUAGUAGGGCUUGGCCAGGCAGGCAAGGUGGAGCCUGGUGUGCCAGGCGCAGCGCUUCAGAUGAGAGGAGGUGAGAGCUUGGGGAUGGCACAGGGAAGUGUUUUGUCUGGUGAGGGUGUGGCAGGGAGGGCAGGCCUGAAGGGACCUCCAGGGAGGUGUGAUCAGAUCUGGGUUCCAGAAAGAUCCUACCUGCUUGGCGACCUUAACUGAGCUGGAGUCUGGAGGCCCCACCCUUGCACCCAGCUGCUUCCACUGCUUGCCUCCCAUCCCCCAGUGCCAGUUCCCCAGGGCAGUGCCCUCCCCAUGCCCUCUUGGUGUACCCUGGUCCCAAAGGAGGCCAAGCUAUGAACUUUUCUUGCAGAGGUCCCAGGUGAGGCUGUUGUCCUGGAGCUGUCCCCAGAGCAGGCUUAGGAUGAGGGGACCUAGCCACAGCUUCAACCGAGUGGGGUCCCGGUGUGGCUGCCAGGGCUCCUUGGCACCAACCCAGCCCAGUGGGUUGAUCUCUGAGGACCUCGUCAUACUCAGCCGGGCAGUCUGCCCUGGGGGGUGGGGUCAGGACUCCCCAGCACUUCGGGAUGGAAGGAGGCGAAGCCAGCGCUGCUGGACUAGCCUUAAAGAAGCGGGAGACAUCCUAGCUCCGCCUCAAGAUUUCUCCUCUGCACCCAGCAUUCUGCUCCCCAAAUGUCCCAAAUAUGCAGGGGGUCAAGGAACAUUGCUCAGUGGAAUCAAUGGGGAGCGUGGGCUACUCCCCAGCCUCUGGUUUGCCCCAUAGCAGCCCCUUGGGCACCGCUGGGGACCCCCAGGCCUCUGAGGAGCUUGGUUUGGAAAGCGCUGGAAUGCUGGACCAAGUUCCCUCUCUGGCUCCCUGAGAGGGGGUCUUCUAGCCCCAGUCUUAGGGCAAGAGGAGCCCGUCCCCUAGGAGCCUCCAGGCCCUGGAGCCAGACAUCGGGCGUCCUAGCUACACCCUUUCCUGGCUAUGUGAGCUUGGGCAAGUUACCAAACCCCUCUGAGCCUCCAUUCACCAUCUACAGAAUGGAAGAGACGCUAAUGUCACCCUGGAAGGUGUUUUGAAGGGUAAUGUGUGUAAAGGGCCAAACAAGGCCCCGCACAGUUAAGGACUUCUUAAAAACAAACAGGCGGCUGGGCGCGGUGGCUCACGCCUGUAAUCCCAGCACUUUGGGAGGCCGAGGCAGGCGGAUCACGAGGUCAGGGGAUCGAGACCAUCCUGGCUAACAUGGUGAAACCCCGUCUCUACUAAAAGUAUAAAAAAUUAGCCGGGUGUGGUGGCGGGCGUCUGUAGUCCCAGCUCCUCCGGAGGCUGAGGCAGGAGAAUGGCGUGAACCCGGGAGGCGGUGCUUGAAGGGAGCUGAGAUCAUGCCACUGCACUCCAGCCUGGGCUACAGAGCGAGACUCCAUCU